AAUUACCAUGGAGAGGUGAGUUGGCGAGUCACAUAUGUAAGAAUCUGUUAUCACUAACAAUAGCGUUUAUGGCUAACAUUGGGUUUGAUGUUCCAUUGAGUGUUUGAGACAAAAGUAGUAAAAAUUGUGGAUGCUUUAUGGUUAAAAUAUUAUACUUCUUAGAUAUUGUUCAUGAAAGAAUGCACCAAAUGAACAUUUUUCAUUUUCCCCUGAAAUGGAAGGAUAUAGUCCUUGUAAUGUAUAAGAAAAAAUAAAAAAAACUUACCAUUCACCUGCUUUUGAAGUCCUGAUAAAUUUGUGCUUAUUUAUUCUUUAGGUGGUUACUAUUAAAGGCAAUG
rnacentral:misc_RNA from 1 species